CUCGGCAGCGCACCAGCCACGGCCGGCGGUACCCAC
rnacentral:rRNA from 1 species